GAAGACCUUUCAGCUUAUCUAAUAAGGCAAGACUAGUGGUGAUGAACUCCCUCAGAUUUUGUUUGUUGGGAAAGUGUUUAUCUCUCCUUCACUUCUGAAGGACAACUUUGCCAGAUGAGGAAACUGACAACUGAAAAUCUGAGGAAAUUUCCCAAGUUUACACAUGAAUAAAUGUGAGACCUUGCAUUCAAACUCAGGGGGCCAUGAUCAGCCUCAAGUCUGGUGACAGUAAACUGUGAAGAAAAGUAGCCUAGGCUACAUUUGAGCCCUCACUGAGCGACUUGGGAAUCGAUGGGAAUAUCACCUUUCUGGCUUGCACUUCUCUGCAUCAGUCCAGUGCCUUUGGAAGUGGUUCUGCAGGAAGUUACAGCGAUGAGGGUGUCCCAGUAGAACCAGGGCCUGCAGCUCCAAAGGGCCUGGUUCAGGUUCCUCUCCAAGGCCAUGGCAACUUCCAUGGUGUCCUGAGUGUCAGCCUGCUCAUCCUGGGAGGCUUCAGCAUGUCCUGGAGAGAAUGCAGCCACCAUGCUGGUUUUGUAUCUUUAAGAAGCUCAGCGCCCUCGAGCUUCUUCUCCACCAACUCGAGGAAGAAGUGGCCCGCGCCCUCCAGAGCCACAUCUUAGUGGUGGAAACAGAAGCCCAGAGAGAGCCACCAGUUAUUCUCUGACCCUGAGUGGAUGCAAGACCUACCUUCACUGCUUUACCGCAUAGGCUACUGAACAUUGUGGAAGUAAAAUUGUAUAAGCACAUACUGAAACUACUGCAAGUGGAAGGGCUGUGAAACUCUACUGGACUGGGAAACUACAUUCCUUAAAGACAGCAGAACAUAAGAAGGCUGGAGACGUGGUCACCGUGCUCACCUCUAAGGGAAAUUCACAGUGCUACAGAGGAAUGCAAAAGGGGAAUGAAGACUGGAAGGUGAAGAAGGAUCUCUCCGAGGAAACAUUGCUGAGACAUGAAGAAAUGGAAUGUGAUAACAAGCACGUGGUUUGCUGAAGAGCACAUGUGAAGGCCCUCAGAAAUCGAUUCAGUGCUCGCUAUAUCCUAGAAUGAUGCUUGAAAUUUACAUCAUCUUCAUCUCUGACCACAACUGAACAACACCGGCCAACAAGAUAUUUCUAUGGAUUAUGCCCUUCUUUCCUCCUGAUAUUGAAGGCAUCCCCUGAAGUUCUUAACACAGUACUGCAGACACUGGGAGGAAUUAGAAAUUUUAGAGUGAAGAGGAUUUCCUGGACUUAGAAGAAAGGGAUGAACAGUCUGGAAACCAACUGGAUUACUGAAUGACUACAUGGAGAAGAAUCUGCCCACUUUCCUUUCAACAACAUACAUUGGGCUUACUAAGUAUUCAAUAUUUAUGGCAUUAAGACAUUGACAAUUUAUAAUUAUUAUGAGAAUUAGUCCACCUGGCUAAUAGAGACAACCAUCUGUUACAUCUGAAAUUAUUUAAAGGGAUUGUUAAAUAUAUAAGUUCACAAUUUCCUGCAAUUUUUCCUUCAAAAUAGACUAAAAAAAUUAAAAUCCAGAAAAUAUUAUUGUAACCUAGUUUUUAAAAUCAGCAUUUAAAGUGAUUUUUAAAAUUUGAGGUAUGGUUACAAUUAGCAAAAUGUUAUAGGCCAAAGAGAACAUAUAGUAUGUUUGAUUAAAGCACUAAGUUUUAGGUGUCAAAUUCAAGAUUAACUUCAGUGAAAAUUUUGCCCUAUGAGUAUGUUUCAUCUUCUCUUUUUUUCUGACUUGUUAACAUUUUUCUCUACAUUAUAUAUAUUUUCUCACUAACUUGACAUAACAAAAUAUUUAAGUAAAUAUUACAGACCAUUUCCAAAUCUUAA